GACCGCACCCAUGUCACGUGGAGGUUCCCAGGUUAGAGGUCUAAUUGGAGCUGCAACCGCCAGCCCACGCCACAGCCACAGCAAUGGGGGAUCCGAGCCACGUCUGUGACACAGCUCGUGGCAGAUUCCUAACCCACUGAACAAGGCCAGGGAUCGAACCCUCAACCUCAUGAUUCCUAGUCCGAUUCGUUAACAACUGAGCCACGAUGGGAACUCCUGCAGUUGGAUUCUUAACCGACUACACCAUAGCAGAAACUCCCCUAGAGUACUUUUUAAAUGUUAAAAAUAAUAAAAAUAAUUCAAGUUAUUAUGUAUUAUAUAUUAUAUAUAAACUUCAUUCUUUUUUCUUUUUUUUGGUCUUUUUUGCCAUUUAUUGGGCCGCUCUCGUGGCAUAUGGAGUUCCCAGGUUAGGGGUCUAAUUGGAGCUGUAGCCACCGGCCUACACCAGAGCCACAGCAACGCGGGAUCCGAGCCGCGUCUGCAACCUACACCACAGCUCACGGCAACGCCGGAUCGUUAACCCACUGAGCAAGGCCAGGGAUCGAACCCGCAACCUCAUGGUUCCUAUCUGAUUCGUCAACCAUUGAGCCAUGACAGGAACUCCUGUUUUUAUUUUUUUUUAAUGUAACUCACUCCUAUGGGACUAACAAAAGAAGAGACAUAGAAAAAUAGAUUUUACUACUUUAUUAAAUAAAAUACUAACUUUAUUUGCUAACUUUAUUAAAGUUAUUACUUUAAGGGUGGCAUAAGCUGGAAAUGUAAGUAAUUUCAAAACCUGUUUUUACCUUAAAAAAGAAUAAAAGUGAAAGAGUAUCAUCCCAAGAAAGAAAAGCUAAGAAAUCAUGGGAGGGUGGGGUGAAGGAUAUUUGUCAAGAGAGACACCCAAAUGGCAGCUGCACAGCCCAGGGAGCAAAGCCUCGAAGUGGGCUGAGUUCCGUCGUGUUUGUUCCUUCCUGGACUUGAUGUGACUAAGUACACAAUGAGGUCGGAAGGAAGGGGAAGAAGAGAAUGAUGUUGCCUUUGGGAGCCAGGCAUUAUUGCUUUGCUGUGGUGAACAGGUAGUUUUGAAAAUUACACGCUACGGUGGCAGGUAAUUUAUUUUUUAUAAAUUGUGAGUCCUGUGUUGAAAUUGAGAAGAGGAAAAAAAAAAAAAGACAUCUGAAAUGAUUAGGAAGGAGUAACAUGGGCUUGCCUGCAUGUGGCCAGCGUGAUUAGUACCCAGUGUUACCUGGAGGGGGCAACGUCCAUUCUGUUCUGAGGAGUCGCUCUUGACCUUGGCCAAGAGCGUAUCUCAAGAGGGUUUAUGCCUGUAUCCCUAGAUGUGGCUGGUCCCCCACCCUGCUCCCUCGGCACCUUCUAAUCUCAUUGCUGUAAUGUACAUCAUGACAUAUUAUGCUCACACCCUCUUUGCUUACUUACUCUAACCCCCCGGAGGAAUCUGAACUCAAUACGUUCUGGAGAUUUAACAAGGGUGAAGACUGAUACAAUGCUGGAGUCCUGGUGCCUGAAAAAAAAUGAAUCCCUAACAUGAUAAGUGGAAAUACAGAAGUUCAGAGAGGAGAAUCGAAGCUCCAAGAAAAAUCAGGAAAAAAAUACUUACGAGGUGUACUAUUUCACUGUACAUAUUGUACAGGGAGCAACGUGGACCCUACCCUCUUGGAGCUUACUGUCUAGUGGGGAAGACAGACAUUAAAUCUGCAAAACAAAGCAUAAGCCCAAAUGUACAGCAUGCUGAAGGGGAAGUUCAGAGUUGUGUGGGAAAGUUUCAUAUGAGCCUGGAGGGUCAGGCAAUCAUUCUGAUGUCACAUGGUUUCUUGGUGGCCACGACAAGUUUCUAAAUUUCCUUAUUGUUAUGCUGGUCAUUUCCUCCUUAUAUUUUUUGUAACGUAUAUUUUUAAAAUUCUGUUUGUCCUAAGCUGAGGGUUCUUUAGAAUUCUUUGGCCCAUAGAUUUUUCUGAGAAUCUAAUAAAAGCUAUGAAUCAUCUUUUAAAAUGCAUUUAUAUAUACACCCAAUAUGUAAAUUUGGGCAUAAUUUGGGGACUAGGCAUGGACUCCUAGGUUUCAAUUCCUGUUCUGAGAUCUUUCCAAGAUGAUAGCUAGCUCUCCUUUUUUUGGCUCAUCCCCAACCUGUAUCUCCAGCUCUGAUAUCUCCCUUGCAAUCCAGAUGCUCUAGCAGCUGUCCACUGGGCAGACAGCCCUAGUAGUUCCACCAGGCUGUA
rnacentral:lncRNA from 1 species